rnacentral:rRNA from 1 species
GACGAACGCUGGCGGCGUGCUUAACACAUGCAAGUCGAACGGAAAGGCCCUGCUUUUGUGGGGUGCUCGAGUGGCGAACGGGUGAGUAACACGUGAGUAACCUGCCCUUGACUUUGGGAUAACUUCAGGAAACUGGGGCUAAUACCGGAUAGGAGCUCCUGCUGCAUGGUGGGGGUUGGAAAGUUUCGGCGGUUGGGGAUGGACUCGCGGCUUAUCAGCUUGUUGGUGUGGUAGUUGCUUACCAAGGCUUUGACGGGUAGCCGGCCUGAGAGGGUGACCGGCCACAUUGGGACUGAGAUACGGCCCAGACUCCUACGGGAGGCAGCAGUGGGGAAUAUUGCACAAUGGGCGGAAGCCUGAUGCAGCAACGCCGCGUGCGGGAUGACGGCCUUCGGGUUGUAAACCGCUUUCGCCUGUGACGAAGCGUGAGUGACGGUAAUGGGUAAAGAAGCACCGGCUAACUACGUG